GGUGGUUCAGUGGUAGAAUGCAUGCCUCACAUGCAUGAGGUCCUGGGUUCAAUUCCUCAGCACCA
rnacentral:tRNA from 1 species